AGUGGAAUUGCUGAGGCAUAUGGUAAAUAUAUUUAAUUUCUUAAGGAACUGCUAGACUGCUUUCCAAAGUGACUGCACCGUUUUGCAUUCCCACCAGCAAU
rnacentral:pre_miRNA from 1 species